rnacentral:rRNA from 1 species
UUGCGGUAUCCUGACCGUACUAAGGUAGCAUAAUCAUUUGUUCUUUAAUUUAGGACUAGAAUGAAAGGACCCACAAAAAUAAACUUUCUUAAAUAUAUAAAUAAAACUUAAACUAUGAAUGAAAAUCUUCAUAUUUAUUAAAAAGACCAAAAGACCCUAACGAGCUUAAAUAUGAUUUAAGAGUUUCUUUUUUAUAUUUUAAAUUGGGGCGAUUUAAGAUACUAUAUCAUCUUUACUGCAUACAAAUUAUAAUUUUACCUUUAUUAAAUUUAAUCAAGUUACCGUAGGGAUAACAGGCUACUCAAUUUUUAAAGUUCACAUUUACAAAUUGUCUUGGCACCUCGAUGUUGGCUUAGGAA